rnacentral:rRNA from 1 species
GAGGGGCAGCAUGAAAUCUAUGCAAAUAGAUUUUGAUGGCGACCGGCGUACGGGUGCGUAACACGUACGUAACCUACCUUUUGCUAGAAAAUAGCCUGAGGAAACUCGGAUUAAUGUUCUAUAGCAUAAUAAAAUCGCAUGAUUUUAUUAUUAAAGCAGAAAUGCGGCAAAAGAUGGACGUGCGUCCGAUUAGUUAGUUGGUGAGGUAAAGGCUUACCAAGACGAUGAUCGGUAGGGGGCCUGAGAGGGUGAUCCCCCACACUGGUACUGAGACACGGACCAGACUCCUACGGGAGGCAGCAGUGAGGAAUAUUGGUCAAUGGAGGAAACUCUGAACCAGCCACGCCGCGUGCAGGAAGAAUGCCUUACGGGUUGUAAACUGCUUUUGUUUAGGAAUAAAAAUUCUUACGUGAUAAGAAUUAUGAAUGUACUAUACGAAUAAGUGUCGGCAAACUCCGUGCCAGCAGCCGCGGUAAUACGGAGGACACAAGCGUUAUCCGGAUUUAUUGGGUUUAAAGGGUGCGUAGGCGGUUUAUUAAGUCAGUAGUGAAAUAUUGCAGCUUAACUGUUAAAAUGGCUAUUGAUACUGAUAAACUUGAGUGAGAUUGGAGUAGCUGGAAUGUGUGGUGUAGCGGUGAAAUGCAUAGAUAUCACACAGAACACCGAUCGCGAAAGCAGGUUACUAAAUCUAUACUGACGCUGAGGCACGAAAGCGUGGGGAGCAAACAGGAUUAGAUACCCUGGGUAGUCCACGCCGUAAACGAUGAUCACUAGUUGUUGGAUUUAUUUUUCAGUGACUAAGCGAAAGUGAUAAGUGAUCCACCUGGGGAGUACGGUCGCAAGGCUGAAACUCAAAGGAAUUGACGGGGGCCCGCACAAGCGUGGAGCAUGUGGUUUAAUUCGAUGAUACGCGAGGAACCUUACCAAGGUUUAAAUGUACUACGAAUAAGCUAGAAAUAGUUUAGUCUUCGGACGGAGUACAAGAUGCUGCAUGGUUGUCGUCAGCUCGUGCCGUGAGGUGUUGGGUUAAGUCCCUCAACGAGCGCAACCCUCAUUGUUAGUUGCCAGCGAAUAAUGUCGGGGACUCUAGCAAGACUGCCGACGUAAGUCGAGAGGAAGGUGGGGAUGACGUCAAAUCAUCACGGCUCUUAUACCUUGGGCUACACACGUGCUACAAUGGUCGGUACAAAGGGGUGCUACUGGGUGAUCAGAUGCUAAUCUCUAAAAGCCGAUCUCAGUUCGGAUUGGAGUCUGCAACUCGACUCUAUGAAGUUGGAAUCGCUAGUAAUCGCAUAUCAGCCAUGAUGCGGUGAAUACGUUCCCGGGCCUUGUACACACCGCCCGUCAAGCCAUGGAAGUCGGGGGGACCUAAAAUCGGUGACUGUAAAA